GAUCAUGGUUCAGGAUGAACGCUGGCGGCGUGCCUAACACAUGCAAGUCGAACGGAGCUGCUUUGAUGAAGUUUUCGGAUGGAUUUAAAACAGCUUAGUGGCGGACGGGUGAGUAACGCGUGGGUAACCUGCCUCACACUGGGGGAUAACAGUUAGAAAUAGCUGCUAAUACCGCAUAAGCGCACAGUUCCGCAUGGAACAGUGUGAGAAACUCCGGUGGUGUGAGAUGGACCCGCG
rnacentral:rRNA from 1 species